CGCAGUAAUUUCUUUGUGGGUGAGGAGCGUGCACGACAAAGGGUGGCAACUCAACUAAUGUGGGGGCGUAGCUCCGCCCCUUUGAAAGAAAACGGGAAGUGGCCCGAGAGACCACUGUACUUGGAGGUGUCCAGCUCCGAGAUGCUACCAAGCUGGGUCAUCCCCGGCCGUUAAAAGAGGCUGUGAGUGACCCAGUCAAUCAUGGACGGGCCGGGGCCACCUUUAGCCCAUGUGGGUUUCCAGCCUCACGAAUCAACAAUAUCCAGUCACCCAGGCCUCCUUGUCCUUUCCGCUUCUGCUUCCUUGCCACCUGUGUCUGCCCUGAAGCAAGUUUAGACCAAAUGAGGAGGACAGAACAAGUGGAAUCCUUACCUUUGGACUGAUAUCUGUUUUGGUUUCAUAGAAAUGAUGAAGAAAGUCAAGGCAAGCCGAAAGGAUGCAGUCACCGCCAGUGUGGACGCCCUUUCUGACAUGAAUCCGUCCAUCGAGAAGGCAAGCUGAUUAGUGUGUUUGGCAGCAUUGGCACCAGGAAAAGCUCCUUCAUCUCAGCUGGUCGUGGAGAUGUUUCAUAGAAAUGAUGAAGAAAGUCAAGGCAAGCCGAAAGGAUGCAGUCACCGCCAGUGUGGACGCCCUUUCUGACAUGAAUCCGUCCAUCGAGAAGGCAAGCUGAUUAGUGUGUUUGGCAGCAUUGGCACCAAGAAAAGCUCCUUUAUCUCAGCUGGUCGUGGAGAUGUUUCAUAGAAAUGAUGAAGAAAGUCAAGGCAAGCCGAAAGGAUGCAGUCACCGCCAGUGUGGACGCCCUUUCUUACAUGAAUCCGUCCAUCGAGAAGGCAAGCUGAUUAGUGUGUUUGGCAGCAUUGGCACCAAGAAAAGCUCCUUCAUCUCAGCUGGUCGUGGAGAUGUUUCAUAGAAAUGAUGAAGAAAGUCAAGGCAAGCCGAAAGGAUGCAGUCACCGCCAGUGUGGACGCCCUUUCUGACAUGAAUCCGUCCAUCGAGAAGGCAAGCUGAUUAGUGUGUUUGGCAGCAUUGGCACCAAGAAAAGCUCCUUCAUCUCAGCUGGUCGUUGAGAUGUUUCAUAGAAAUGAUGAAGAAAGUCAAGGCAAGCCGAAAGGAUGCAGUCACCACCAGUGUGGACGCCCUUUGUGACAUGAAUCCGUCCAUCGAGAAGGCAAGUUGAUUAGCGUGUUUGGCAGCAUUGGCACCAGGAAAAGCUCCUUCAUCUUAGCUGGUCUUAGAGAUGUAAGGCUCUGUUUUUCCUUUUCAUUUCUUUCUUCCUGUAUAUAUGUUCCUCAGAUCUUUUUAUCUGCAUUAUCAUUUAAUUUAAUACCUUUUUUUUGUGUUAUGUGGUCUUUCCAUUUCCCACUUUUGUAGUCAUAGAUGUCUUUUUUGACUUUGCUUCUUUUUUCAUUUCUUUCUCCAUAUAUCUUCUCUUUUUUAGUUUUUCAUUAACAUACAUUUCCAUAUCCUUAUUUGGGUAACAUCACUAUUAGAGCUUGUAUUACAGGGAUAAGUCUUGCA